GUCUUGUAGGGUCUGUUCACUGGGUUUUUCACCGCUGGACCAUUUAAUAUGGUUGGUUCGCUGGAAAUGACCGCCCCCCGAGAGCGAAACCAGUCAUCAAAAUGACGCACAUUGAAUGACUCGCGGAUUGUUUCUUAUCAGGGGUUUGCCCCGCUGGCUAUCAAUUAAGUUAUUCCUUCCUGUUAGUAAGUUGGUCCUUCAAGAGGAAAUGCCAUUCGACAGAAUACCUCCAUAGAAAAAUAGGUUUUAUUUGAAGUCAAAAUCACAGAAGAUGCAUGUUAUUAGUAAAGAGACACACAAGAGACAAUGCAAAACAUUGACUUUAUAUUGUAUCAUCAUGAGGACCUCCAAGCAAAACAUAACAAAUUGAAAGCAAUUGCUUGCCAACGAAUGUAGGUGUGACAGAUUUAAACACAUGUUUGGAAACUCCCAAAACUUACUUCUGUAUUCUAGAGAAGCAAAAGCAAAAGGGAAGCAAACCCAUGACUAAGAUACUGUGAGUGGAAUGCAGGUCAGGCCUGAAUGUCGAAUAUUAUCAACAAAUAUUUCCUUUGCGUGUGACAUAAAAACAUUCCUGUUCUUCCAUCAUUCUGAUAAACAGGAAGUCUCUUUGUGGACAGACUGAUCUUCAUGGGGUUGUACAAUCAAGAGGGAGGAGAAUGUGAACCAGAGGACGUGUUCAGGUUUAGCAUAGUCUAUUAUUGCGUUAUUGUUUGAUAAAAAAGAGGGAGUAGUUUUACAUGGUAUUUGUAACUUUUGGGUGUAUAGCGGUUGCGAUUUGCUCCUUUCAGAGUAAGACGGUUGGACGAGUGUCUGCUAGCGAAGAUAUUCUACAGCAAAUGAAAAAAACCGAGAUGUACAUAAUGAAAAAAAAAAAGGGAUUUUAUUGAGACGGACUCAUCUGAACAGUCUAU